rnacentral:rRNA from 1 species
UACGUAGGGUGCAAGCGUUAAUCGGAAUUACUGGGCGUAAAGCGUGCGCAGGCGGUUAUGUAAGACAGGUGUGAAAUCCCCGGGCUUAACCUGGGAAUGGCAUUUGUGACUGCAUGGCUAGAGUGUGUCAGAGGGGGGUGGAAUUCCACGUGUAGCAGUGAAAUGCGUAGAGAUGUGGAGGAAUACCGAUGGCGAAGGCAGCCCCCUGGGAUAACACUGACGCUCAUGCACGAAAGCGUGGGGAGCAAACAGG